UACGUAGGGGGCAAGCGUUGUCCGGAUUUAUUGGGCGUAAAGAGCGUGUAGGCGGCUAGAUAGGUCCGUUGUGAAAACUCGAGGCUCAACCUCGAGACGUCGAUGGAAACCAUCUGGCUAGAGUCCGGAAGAGGAGAAUGGAAUUCCUGGUGUAGCGGCGAAAUGCGCAGAUAUCAGGAAGAACACCCGUGGCGAAGGCGGUUCUCUGGGACGGUACUGACGCUGAGACGCGAAAGCGUGGGGAGCGAACAGG
rnacentral:rRNA from 1 species